UGCAGGGCCUGGUGCGGACCCAGUGCUCCAGACGGCUCUGCUGAGUAAAGAACAGGAGAAUAAACAAGUUGUGUUCCCCUGCCGUGGUCCACGCUGGGCUCCUUGUGGACAUACCUGUCUCGUGAGGCAGUGAGACCCCUUUGACAUUCCAGGCUGGAGCACGGGCUCCCCAAAGGCCAGGAACGAGUCUGGUUUCUGGAACAGCACUGUCUCCUCAGCACCUAGACCUGGGCACAUAGCAGACAACCAAGGAAUGCCCAUCAACGAGAGGAGGCCUCACCUCAUGGCGGCCAUGUGGGGCAGGAAUGACUGUAAUCCCCCCUAACCAAUGGAACAGCUAAGACUCAGAGAGGCCUCCGUCGUUGCUCUGGGACCUCGUUGCUGACCCUGGAUGACAGACCACUGCCUAGGAUGAAAUUCCCCUCUGGAUGGAUGGCUUCUGGUUUGGUGAUGGAAUGGAUUCCAGGGCCUCUGAGGAAGGCAGGAAGCCUUGGGACUUGGCAAUCUCCACAGGAGAUGGGGUGUGUGCUAGGUGAGGCCCCCAUCACCAGGAGCAAGGCCUGGUCCACCCUGAGACCCAGCGCCCACUUACUGUCCAUGCCUUCACCUUGCUAAGUUAGUGUGUGGUCCACUUGCUAAGAGAAACAACAGGUAUUAAGGGUUUAAGAAAAAAUGAAACCCAAAACAAGCUCUGAAGUUCUGUAGACCUUGGCCAACUCUCAGCACAGCCACUUACUUGCUAGCUAAUCUUGAGCACGUCCCUUAACUUCUCUAACCUUUUUCCUCCAUUCGUAAAACUGGGAAAAUUUGCAUCUUUUUCGUGCAUUCGUUUUGAGAAAUAGAUGGAUAUGUGUGUGCCUGUCAGCUCGACGCUGGGUGCAGAGUGAGUGCGCUAAGCACGGUGGCUUCCUUGACUGUAGAGAUGCAUCCUAGCUCCUGCCUGGUCUGUCCCAGGUGGACAGAGGUGAUGGCAUCUGGAGGGGUCCCACCUCCAAUGUCUUAAUCCAGGGCCUUUCUGUGGCAUAGUGCUGAGCCAGCGUACUGAAAGGCCACAGAGAGGUGCAGCAGGUGGCGAGUUGAGCCCCCACCUCCCCAACCCCAGUGAUUUUCCCUGAAAAGACACCCCAUGCUUUGUUUUGUUGUCUGGCUUAUGUAAACUUGCCUCUUGUUUUAUAGUUGCUUCCCCAGCUUUAAACUAAAGGCUGUUAUUGACAGCCUAUAGUUGCUUCCCCAACGGCCAAUCCCUCCAGCUCCCCUCCUGCUUCCAGGCAAACAACCCCAGUCAUAAGGGCCUGCGAUGUUCCCAGUCCCAGGGAAUGAGUCCUGAUUGGUCUAAGACAGCUAAGACAAUUCUUUUCUACUUUAUCAAAUACAGAUGACCCCUGAACAGCACCAGUUUGAACUGGGGGGUCCACUUAUAUGUGGAGUUUCUCUCUCUGCCACCUCUGGGACAGCAAGACCAAUGCCUCCUCCCCCUCCUCCUCCUGAGCCUACUCACUGUGAGUAGGAUGAAGACCUUUAGGAUGAUCCAUUUCCACUUAAUCAAUAGCAGAUAUAUUUUCUCUUCCUUAUGAGUCUUUUAACAACAUUUUCUUUUCUCUAGCUUAUUUUAUUGUAAGAAUACGGUGUUGAAUGCAUAUAACGUGCAAAUACAUGUUAAUCAACUGUUUAUGUUACGGGUAUGGCUUCUGGCCAACAGUAAGCUAUUAAUAGUUAAGUUUUGGGGAAGUCAAAAGUUAUAUGCAAUUUUUUGACUGCACAGGGAGUCAGCACCCCUCACUCCUCAUUGUUCAGGGUCAACUGUACUUGGUUUCCAAGCCUCCCUUAUAAGUCGGUAUGGCCAUGGGACCCAGUUUUAGAUGUGAGAAGAGAAGAAGGGUUGCAUCUGGGAAGGAUUUCUUUCUGGAUGAAAGAUAGUCUUUUGAGGAGCGGCUCCUUGGUCCCUGCCCUGUCCCUCCUGCUGGAGAUGCUGCAUGCAAGGGCCUGAUGUCUGGAAUUGAAGCAUCCAUGUGGUGACCAUGAGACAAGAAGCAUGACAAUAAAAUUUCACUGGGUGGAAGAAUGAGGAAGUCUGGAUUCUUGAUGAUACUGUUGCCGUCUGAACAUGCCCUGUGACCCUGUACUUCUGGGCAUCUGGUUACAUGAGCAAUAAAUAUUCUUACGGCUAAAACCA
rnacentral:lncRNA from 1 species